rnacentral:rRNA from 1 species
GAUGAACGCUGGCGGCGUGCCUAAUACAUGCAAGUCGAGCGAACAGACGAGGAGCUUGCUCCUCUGACGUUAGCGGCGGACGGGUGAGUAACACGUGGAUAACCUACCUAUAAGACUGGGAUAACUUCGGGAAACCGGAGCUAAUACCGGAUAAUAUAUUGAACCGCAUGGUUCAAUAGUGAAAGACGGUUUUGCUGUCACUUAUAGAUGGAUCCGCGCCGCAUUAGCUAGUUGGUAAGGUAACGGCUUACCAAGGCAACGAUGCGUAGCCGACCUGAGAGGGUGAUCGGCCACACUGGAACUGAGACACGGUCCAAACUCCUACGGGAGGCAGCAGUAGGGAAUCUUCCGCAAUGGGCGAAAGCCUGACGGAGCAACGCCGCGUGAGUGAUGAAGGUCUUCGGAUCGUAAAACUCUGUUAUUAGGGAAGAACAAAUGUGUAAGUAACUAUGCACGUCUUGACGGUACAUAAGCAGAAAGCCACGGCUAACUACGU